AUUGAACGCUGGCGGCAUGCUUUACACAUGCAAGUCGAACGGUAACAGGUUAAGCUGACGAGUGGCGAACGGGUGAGUAAUGCAUCGGAACGUGCCCGGUCGUGGGGGAUAACGCAGCGAAAGCUGCGCUAAUACCGCAUACGAUCUGAGGAUGAAAGCGGGGGACCGUAAGGCCUCGCGCGAUCGGAGCGGCCGAUGUCAGGAUUAGGUAGUUGGUGGGGUAAAGGCUCACCAAGCCAACGAUCUGUAGCUGGUCUGAGAGGACGACCAGCCACACUGGGACUGAGACACGGCCCAGACUCGUACGGGAGGCAGCAGUGGGGAAUUUUGGACAAUGGGCGAAAGCCUGAUCCAGCAAUGCCGCGUGCAGGAAGAAGGCCGUCGGGUUGUAAACUGCUUUUGUACGGAGCGAAAAGGUCUCCUCUAAUACAGGGGGCUCAUGACGGUACCGUAAGAAUAAGCACCGGCUAACUACGUGCCAGCAGCCGCAGUAA
rnacentral:rRNA from 1 species